rnacentral:rRNA from 1 species
CAGCAGUAGCCGCGGGAAUACGAAGGGGGCUAGCGUUGUUCGGAUUUACUGGGCGUAAAGCGCACGUAGGCGGAUCGAUCAGUCAGGGGUGAAAUCCUGGAGCUCAACUCCAGAACUGCCUUUGAUACUGUCGAUCUCGAGUCCGGAAGAGGUGAGUGGAACUCCUAGUGUAGAGGUGGAAUUCGUAGAUAUUAGGAAGAACACCAGUGGCGAAGGCGGCUCACUGGUCCGGUACUGACGCUGAGGUGCGAAAGCGUGGGGAGCAAACAGGAUUAGAUACCCGCGUAGUCCCUGUCUCUUAUAC